rnacentral:rRNA from 1 species
AUUGAACGCUGGCGGCAGGCCUAACACAUGCAAGUCGAACGAGUGGCGGACGGGUGAGUAAUGUCUGGGAAACUGCCUGAUGGAGGGGGCUAACUACUGGAAACGGUAGCUAAUACCGCAUACUCUCAGAUGAGCCUAGGUCGGCUUAGCUAGUUGGUGGGGUAAAGGCCUACCAAGGCGACGAUCCGUAACUGGUCUGAGAGGAUGAUCAGUCACACUGGAACUGAGACACGGUCCAGACUCCUACGGGAGGCAGCAGUGGGGAAUAUUGGACAAUGGGCGAAAGCCUGAUCCAGCCAUGCCGCGUGUAUGAAGAAGGCCUUCGGGUUGUAAAGUACUUUCAGCGGGGAGGCGUUACCCGCAGAAGAAGCACCGGCUAACUCCGUGCCAGCAGCUGCGGUAAUUC